rnacentral:rRNA from 1 species
GGUCAAGCUACAAAGGGCUCACGGAGGAUACCUAGGCACACAGAGGCGAUGAAGGACGUGGUUACCUGCGAUAAGUCUCGGGGAGUUGGAAGCACACUUUGAUCCGGGAAUUUCCGAAUGGGGCAACCCCUUGAACGACCAACUGAAUAUAUAGGU